ensembl:lncRNA
CACUGAACAGCCCUCGGUGUGCGCCAUCUUCUAGCCACUGAACAGCCCUCGGUGUGCGCCAUCUUCUAGCCACUGAACAGCCCUCAGUGUGCGCCAUCUUCUAGCCACUGAACAGCCCUCAGUGUGCGCCAUCUUCUAGCCACUGAACAGCCCUCAGUGUGCACCAUUGUGGCGAUCUCGCCAAAAAUAACUGAAACAACAUUUCAAUUUGACAGGUGGGCUCACAUAUUGCAUCAUGUACAUCGCUACAUACAUACCAUUUACUAUAGCUAGAAUUGCAGCAUGUCCACCAACUCAUGGACAUUGUAAAAGGAGAUGGUUUGAGAGACAUCCCAUUUCAAGUAGUGUGAGUAAUACAUUUAUUUUUCCUGCUGGGAAAUGUACAUGUCAAAAUGUCAUCAAGUCGUUUUGAAAUGCAUUUUCAGUUGGCUACUUUAUUGCAGUAUAUUGAAAUCAUGGUCUUGUCACACAUUGAAAUGAUAAAUGCACCACAUGACUGGUCUGUGACAUUUCAUCAAACAGAAGAUGUCACCCUGUGUGUCUCUGCAGUUCUCCUAUUCUAGGCUCUCCUCUCCCUGUGAUGGUCUGUAACACCGUAAAGGUCUGUUCACUUGAUAUGCGCCACAACUGUAUUGCAUCGAGCCAACAAUGGCCACGGUAGGCUCUUUCUUGUAACUCUGAUCUUGCGCUGCACCCGACCAAGCAGCGCUCCACACCUUGUGCCAAUCAAGAGAACAGGCCUUAGAAACUCCUGACUAGCAGCUGAGGUCUUUUCUUAGGGGUAAAGAUCUCCACUACAUGUGUGGUGAGAUUUAUUAUUUCCGUUUCCUCUUUUGAGAUUCAAUAUACUCAAAUCCUAGCCUGGUCCCCCACUGCACAGAUGUAGGAUCUUAAUUUGAACCAGUUUGCUACAGCAGGAAAAUCAUCCUGCAGGAACUGGAAAUGUGGAUUAUUAUUAAUGGACAUUUGUGUAGGGAGUCAUUUGAUACAUUUUUAGGUGGAAAUCACAAACUUCAGAAUCCCUUUUAAACAUCAAAUACACUACACAAUUUACAUCUCCUGCAACAUCGUGAUCAAAUGAAGAUCUUACAUCUAUGUGCUGUAGCUAGCUCUUCUAUUGUUGUCAAGCCAUACAUGUUGUCACGACAAUGAACGCAAACACACAGGAGUUGGCUAAAGCACAAACGGACUGGAGCACCAGGCUACUAUCCCUGUAGCACCAGGCUACUAUCCCUGUAGCACCAGGCUACUAUCCCUGUAGCCCCUAGUCACUUCCCCUAGCCCCUAGUCACUUCCCCUAGCCCCUGAAGGACCUGCAUAUAGGAGGGAGCAGUACUCUGCUGACUGUAAAAAUAAUCCACGUUUGAUUCGAUCACAACUUGUGCACUGCUUUUUUUUUUGCCAAAUUCCUUAAACCUCAACUACCACUUUAAUAUAAGUAAUCCUAUAGAAACCAUAUGAGGAGAGAUCUAUAUUUAACUUUGAAUGACUCCUAGUGAGGUGAUAUUUUUAAUGCAGAGCCAUCAGAUUUAUUAACAGUUAUAACUUGUAUCAUAGCAACUGUAUAUUUUUGUAAAAGAUCACCUCAAACAUUACUGUAUUAAGCAAUCUUUUUUUUUUCACUGAACAAAAGAGGUCGGGGUAUUUUUGGAUGGUUCUCUGUGGUUCCAUUGCGUUAGACAGUUUUUGUUGCAGGGCCUGUUCUGUGUGUGGACUGUUAUCUGUGUGUGAGAGAGAGUAAAUGAGAUUCUGUAUUUGACUAUUGGGGUUGGUACAGUCGUAUCGUGAUGUACUGUAGAGAUGAUUAUUUCUGUCACGUAACCUGUCAUUCUGUCAUGUCAGUCAAAGAAUGAACAACACUGCUGCUGCAUAGAAGCAACAUUAACACUGUAAUCUGUCAUUGUUUCAGUGGACAUUUACAGAUGUGUCAAACUAAACAAUGAAACUAUAUCUGAUUGUGUGUAAUACCUCUGGUCUGUGUCUCUGGCCUACAGUAGUGGUUAGUGUUGUCUGUUGUAAAGUGUUUGCAACUUUCAUCUGCAAUUCAGGAUGCUAAACUACACUGAAGUGCUGUAUCUGUUUGGUUUGGAAAGAGUGACUCAUUUUGAAGAAGAGAUGGAAAGUGAGUAGAUAAAAUGAAAUAGCAUAAUGAAGAAUUCCCUGUUUAGCUGCUAUGCACUUCUAAACUCUUCAUGAAGGCUUUAUGAAUGAAAAAUGCACUUAAAUGCUUUUGGAGCUCUCAGUGAUUUCAGCCUUUUUAACUUAAAAGAUUCAGCUGAGAAAACGCACUCUGCUUUAAUUUCUAUGCUAUUUGCUGUGUGGGGUAAUCGGCUCAAUGGCUCUAUGGUUUCUACAAAUGCAGCUUUAUUUCUCUAAAUGAUGUUCUGAAUAAAAUGUCCUGUGAAAUGAUAUUUCUCCCACUGUGUGGAUUUGACUUACAUGGCAUGUGAGUACAUGGCUGUCUGAGGAAUGACUGGCCUUUGUUCAUAUAACCAGGCUUUUCCUGUUUUAUGUUUGUGAGCAUCUGGACGGGACACAACGAUUCCACAACAACCAAAAGACAGUAUGGUGGAUUGUACUUGCAGUACAUCGCAACCCUUUACCAGCAGAUAACAAUAUGGUUUACAUUGACAAUACUUAUGUCUAGAUAACAUGGCUCAAAUCAUAUAUACAUUUUUAUGAAAUCUAAAUUGUGAUUUGAAUUGGUAUGUUGGUGGCAGCGAGCGGUGGGUUAUUGACUGAUUGGGUCUACAGGGGUACUUCCCAUCCCCCAGUAGGUCAGUGAUGUGAGCACUAGCAUUUUGUUAAUGGUGUCAUCCAGCCCAGUAAUGUCAUUGGGGUAACAACUGCCAGAUGCCUCGUGCAACAGGGGCCUGUUCAACGAAACAGAAUGUUCUGAUAAAAAAUGUGUUGUCUCAUGUACCAUUGUCAUGUACACAAAACAAAAAUAUAAACGCAACAUGUAAAGUGUUGGUCCCAUUUUCAUGAGCUGAAAUGAAACAACUAAAACCAGAAAAAAAAAGUAAUGGAACAAUUACAUUUUUUAAAUACGAUAGUCUUAGAGAACAAAUGAUCAGGAUUCAUCUAAAAUGUAAAAAAUGUCAUGGCAUUGAAUUUGUUCCCAUAUCUGAGUCACUCAGAUUCUCUAAGAACAAGGCAAAGCCAUGAGAAAAUGUGUAUUUUUUGAAGAAAAUUGGCUUUAAAACUGAACGUGUUCUCAGCCGCAUGGUGCGGCAGGUAGCCUAGUGGUUAGAGCGUUGGGACAGUAACCAGCAGGUAGCCUAGUGGUUAGAGCGUUGGGACAGUAACCAGC